rnacentral:rRNA from 1 species
CCUACGGGACGCAGCAGUGAGGAAUAUUGGUCAAUGGGCGGGAGCCUGAACCAGCCAAGCCGCGUGAGGGAAGAAGGUACAGCGUAUCGUAAACCUCUUUUGUCAGGGAACAAAGGCGGGGACUAGUCCUCGGAUGAGGGUACCUGAAGAAAAAGCAUCGGCUAACUCCGUGCCAGCAGCCGCGGUAAUACGGAGGAUGCGAGCGUUAUCCGGAUUUAUUGGGUUUAAAGGGUGCGCAGGCGGUCUGUUAAGUCAGCGGUCAAAGCCCGGGGCUCAACCCCGGCCCGUCGUUGAAACUGGCAGUC